UGGCCCCWWAMMCAAUKGCAAGUCGAACGGUAACAGGAARCAGCUUGCUGCUUYGCUGACGAGUGGCGGACGCGCCUGAUUAAUGUCUGGGAAACUGCCUGAUGGAGGGGGAUAACUACUGGAAACGGUAGCUAAUACCGCAUAAYGUCGCAAGACCAAAGAGGGGGACCUUCGGGCCUCUUGCCAUCGGAUGUGCCCAGAUGGGAUUAGCUUGUYGGUGGGGUAACGGCUCACCWAGGCGACSAUCCCUAGCUGGUCUGAGAGGAUGACCAGCCACACUGGAWCUGAGACACGGUCCAGACUCCUACGGGAGGCAGCAGUGGGGAAUAUUGCACAAUGGGCGCAAGCCUGAUGCASCCAUGCCGCGUGUAUGAAGAAGGCCUUCGGGUUGUAAAGUACUUUCAGCGGGGAGGAAGGGAGUAAAGUUAAUACCUUUGCUCAUUGACGUUACCCGCAGAAGAAGCWCCGGCUAACUCCGUGCCAGCAGCCGCGGUAAUACGGAGGGUGCAAGCGUUAAUCGGAA
rnacentral:rRNA from 1 species